ACUUUAGUUGAACUUUGUGGAAACUCGAUAUAUAUAUUUAUUGACGGUCGUAUGCCGUACCGAGAUAUGUUAGACUGGUCAGUCAAGUGUAUUCACAAAGUUUUCGUGCUUUAUGGAUUUAUAAAAUGUUUUUCAUUCGACGGUCUGAACAGUUAUGGUGAUUUUCUGUUGCCAUGGGAAUUGAAGUAUGUUCGGGUACGAAAGACGGGAGACAUGCAAAGUGUGGUUGUGAUUUAUAUACUAUAUAGUGAGUGGGAAUAGUGGUUCAGGACUAUUCGCGUGAUACCAUUAUUGUUCACGUGCUAUUUUUUUUUUCUUUUCUUAUAUGUUAAGAGACAGUGGAGCCAUCGUUUCAUUAUGGCAAUUUUUGUUGUUUUGUUGAACCAUUAUUCGUGUGUUAUUUUUGAAUGUGCGAAAAUGGAAUAAAUACAUCUACCUGUUUGUACCAAUCCUA